rnacentral:lncRNA from 1 species
GUCAGACUCCUGCAGAAACCAUUAGCACAGUUACAGAGAAUACUUUGGGCCAGCUGAUCACGGCAUGAAUAAAAUGCAUUGUAAUUUAAGGUUCAAAUUAGGGCUUGGGUUGCAGUGGUAGCAGCCAGGGAUAACUUGGGAAGGGUGAUUUUGCUUGCUGGUGAGCAUUUUGUGUUAUAAACAUUGUUGUUUCCUGCAGCAUCUCAAUAGCUAGUCCUUUGUUAAUACCUGUUAACCUAUGAACACAUUGAACCCAGUUGAAAAAAGCGAAUUGAUUUAGAAGAUAAUGGUGAAAUGAAACCUACAUUUUAUUGGGCAAACAGCAUGACAUGGGUAUCAGCAGCUGUGGAGCUUAAGCCAUGCUAAUUCUCAGUGCCAGAUUUCUGUUCACUGCUAUUUUGUUCUUGGUUUCACAACACUUUUACUUUUCCUACCCUACUGCAUCACAGGAUGUAGCACUGAAAAGACCACACUUGGAAGCAUUGCUGCUUUGGAUGAUGAUAGAAUCUAUGCAGUCUUUUGAGGAUACUUCAAUAUUUCCUUCCACCUCCCCUUUUGGAAAGGGCUUCAGAUGAACUCUGAGAGUUACUGAAGAUGAUUCCAAAGAUUUCCUCCCCUGAAAGGAAACCAAAUUCACCCUUUUAAUAAAAGAUAUAGGUGUUUCCA